rnacentral:rRNA from 1 species
UACGGAGGGAGCUAGCGUUGUUCGGAAUUACUGGGCGUAAAGCGCGCGUAGGCGGCUUUGUAAGUUAGAGGUGAAAGCCCGGGGCUCAACCCCGGAAUUGCCUUUAAGACUGCAUCGCUAGAAUCCGGGAGAGGUGAGUGGAAUUCCGAGUGUAGAGGUGAAAUUCGUAGAUAUUCGGAAGAACACCAGUGGCGAAGGCGGCUCACUGGACCGGUAUUGACGCUGAGGUGCGAAAGCCAGGGGAGCGAACGGG